rnacentral:tRNA from 1 species
UUAAUCUAAGCUAGAGUUUGAGCACCCUCACUGUUGAUGAGGAGAGGGGUUUUACCCAGAUUGCA